UGCUCAGCAACUCCUAUCCCUACCUCCACGCGGUACCGGCCGGAAACUAUGAGCAACCUUAGGGAAGAUCGGGUAACCAACCCCGGUGGGAGCUUUGGUCGUAGGCUGACAGGGAAGG
rnacentral:ribozyme from 1 species